CUACGGGGUGCAGCAGUGGGGAAUAUUGCACAAUGGAGGAAACUCUGAUGCAGCAACGCCGCGUGGAGGAUGACACUUUUCGGAGCGUAAACUCCUUUUAUAUAGGAAGAAGAUGACGGUACUAUAUGAAUAAGCGCCGGCUAACUCCGUGCCAGCAGCCGCGGUAAUACGGAGGGCGCAAGCGUUACUCGGAAUCACUGGGCGUAAAGAGCGUGUAGGCGGAUUAAAAGGUCAGAAGUGAAAUCCUAUAGCUUAACUAUAGAACUGCUUCUGAAACUCUUAAUCUAGAAUAUGGGAGAGGUAGAUGGAAUUUCUGGUGUAGCGGUAAAAUCCGUAGAGAUCAGAAGGAAUACCGAUUGCGAAGGCGAUCUACUAGAACAUUAUUGACGCUGAGACGCGAAAGCGUGGGGAGCAAACAGGAUUAGAUACCCCGGUAGUC
rnacentral:rRNA from 1 species